CAAAAUUGGAACAAAUAUGCUCAGAGUCUCUCAAUUUCCUUGCCGUGAUCCAUCAGUUCAUUAUGUCAAGGCAACGACAGUGCUGUGGCAGCCGAGUUACCUCAUCAGAAGUCUCCAGAUAUUGAUCUAAAUCACAUUUCCACUCAGAGCUUGCAGUGGUCAUAUUGGAGUUGUACUUUUAGUUAGCUCCUUCAGAAAGUGGGUUGGUACAAGAUAUCACAGCUUUAAUCCACGGAUUUAGGAAUUUUCCUGUUCCUAUGGAAGACUCUAAUCUUCCUGUACAAUAAAACAACUUAAUAAGCUGUACA
rnacentral:lncRNA from 1 species